UAUUGAUUGUGCCAUCUAUAAACUUAUCGUAUCAUUGCUAUUAUAGACGAUUGAAUUAUUCACUUGGUGUUUUUCGGUUGUACGAUUACAGUGUUUUGUUCAGAAUGCCUUGCUUUUAUUAUAGUCAGUAUGUGUAUGUGUGUACAGGUUAGAUAUUUGAUGAUUUCGGGAUACAUAUAAAAAUCAUUUUCAAAAAUUGAUUAUUCCGCGCAACAUGCUAGAAGUUGGGAGUCGUAUUUGUAUGUACUGGAUGAAAAUACGUUUAUCAUUUCCAUUAUUUGAAUUUAUUCAUUUUGUAGAUAUAUAAAUAACAAAAAUGUCUGUACACUAUAAAUUCAAAUCCACGUUGGACUAUGAUACAGUAUCCUUUGAUGGAUUACAUAUUUCUGUAGCGGAUUUGAAGAAGGCUAUUUUUCAUCAAAAACGUAUAGGAAAAAAUACUGAUUUUGAUCUGCAAAUAACAAAUGCACAAACUAAGGAAGAUUAUACAGAUGAUAAUGCAUUAAUUGCAAAAAAUACUAGUCUUAUUGUUGCUAGAGUUCCAUUAACAGUUCAGCAAAAACGAUCUUGGGACAGAAAUGAAGCUCCUUCUUUUAGUAAUUUAAAAGAUGAAUCCAAUUUAGGCAGAGCUGUAGAUCUUACAAGACUUGAUGGUUCUGAAGAAGAUAAGAUACGAGCAAUGAUGACUCAAUCUACACAAGAUUAUGAUCCCUCAAAUUAUAUGAAAAUACGUGGAGCCAAUCAAACUGGCGAUGUACCUGCAAAUUAUCGUUGUUAUAAAUGUCAUCAACCUGGACAUUGGAUUAAAAAUUGCCCACUUGGAACAAAUCAGGAACCUAUAGAAAUUAAAAAAAGUACAGGUAUUCCAAGAAGUUUUAUGGUUCCAGUUGAAGGACCAAGAGUUCCUGGUGCUAUGAUGACGCCAACGGGUCAAUAUGCUGUACCAGCUAUUGAUCAUCAAGCUUAUAAAGAAGGUAAAAAAGAACGUCCACCAUUUUCGCAAGAUCCAGAGCCUGCUAUUGAAAAACCAGAAAUUCCAGAGGAUUUGUUAUGUAAUAUUUGUAAAGAUCUUUUAACAGAUGCAGUAAUGAUACCAUGUUGUGGAAAUUCAUUUUGCGAUGAAUGUAUUCGGACAUUUUUAUUAGAAUCAGAAGAACAUGAAUGUCCAGAUUGUAAUGAGAAAGAUGUUUCACCAGAAACACUUAUUCCAAAUCGUUUUUUACGAAAUGCUGUAAUGAAUUUUAAGAAUGAGACUGGAUAUGCUAAAAGGCAAACAUAUAGACAAUCUUCACAAACAAACAGACAGUCUACAGUACAAUUAGAACAACAAAAAACUGAUCAAGCAACAAGUCAAAUAUCAAAUCAAAAUAAAUCUGUCCAGCCUUCAAAUGCAACUAAUGUGUCUUCACAGGAAUAUACAGAAUCACAAACGGCAAAUUUUGAUUCUAUUCAACAGCAAUUUCCAGCUAGAACUGUACAACCACAAACGACUCUUCCAGAAACAACAUCAGAAUCUGAUUUGCAAAGUGAUUCUGUAACAAAGUUAACAACAGACGAGGAAACUGAAGUUCCACCACCUCCAGGAACUGAACCAUUGCUUCCAAUACCUGCAAUUGGUAGUUCACCUGAAAGAGAUAGAGAAAGAAGUGAUCCUCCAAGUCGUGAGAAGAAAGAACGUGAAAAUGAAUAUCUAGGAGAAAGACAAUCAAGAGAACGUAGACGAAGUUUCAGUAGAGAUGGAUAUCGUGAUAGAAGUGGAGAACGUGGUCGCAGAAUAGAAAAUCUACGACCAGUAAAUAGAAGACGUUCUUUAUCUCCUAGACAUUCACAACAUAGUGACUAUAGUUCUCAAGGAGCACCAUUACAACAUUUAAUGAAUCCACCUCCAUCAAAAAAUUAUCAAGGAUUACCAUCUGAUGAUGGACAUUAUCCAUCCAAUAUACAUUAUGAUAAUGCCAUACGUAGAUCAACUGAAGAUCGUCCAGGCACUCCAACUGUUGAUGAACCACAUUUACAUGUGUCUUCUUCCGGUAAUCAACCACCUUUGUUACCUUUUCCACCAGGAGAAGAUCGUAUUCCUCAACCAAGCUAUAAUCAGCCUCCACCUAAUGUACCUCCACAUAAUCCACCUUUAUUACCAGAUCCAUAUAUGAAUCAUCGAAUACCUAUAUAUCCUCAUCAGCAAGGCUCUCAUUAUGGGCCUCCACGAUAUGAAAGACCUCCUUAUCAACAACAAGGAUAUAGACCAUCACAACCACCUCGAAAUUAUAAUGGACCACCAAGACCAAUUAGGGGAUUACAUCAUCUUAGUUAUAGAGGAUUGCAACCACCACCACCAGGAUUAAGUAGAAAUAUUCAUAAUGGUAAUCCACCUGGUAUAAUUGAUGAUCCAUUAGAAGCUUUCGAACGAAUGCUUAGAGAAAAAGAUGAACGAGAUAGAAGACUUGGAAAACAUAGAAGAAGAAGUAGAACACGAUCAAGAUCUCGCAGUUAUACUAGAUCUAGGUCACGUUCAUUUGGUCGCAGAUCGCCAUUUCCACCUCGUUUGAGUAGAUCUAGAAGUCCCCCUUCAAAACGAAGAUCUUCAAGAUCACCUUUACCUCUUAGAGCACGAAGUCGUACUCCAAAACGUAGAUCAAGAAGUGGGAGUUUCUCAAUUAGUAGAUCUAGAUCAUAUUCACGAAGCCAGUCUCCUAGAUUAUCUUUGUCACGUGAUAGAGAAAGAGAUAGAGAAAGAGAUCGUGAACGUGAUCGUGACCGUGAUCGUGACCGUGACCGUGAUCGUGACCGUGAUCGUGACCGUGAUCGUGAUCGAGAUCGUGAUCGAGAUCGUGAUCGAGAUCGUGAUCGAGAUCGUGAACGUGAUCGUGAACGUGAUCGUGAACGUGAUCGUGAACGUGAACGAGAUCGUGAACGAGAUCGUGAACGUGAUCGCGAACGUGAUCGCGAACGUGAACGUGAUAGAGAUAGAGACAGAGAAUUACUUCCUAGAUAUCGAUCACCGGCCAGAUCACCUCCAAGAUUUCAAAGAGAGAGGGAUCGUGAUAGAGAUCGGCCAAGAUCACGUGAACCUAGAGAAGGGUAUAAUAGUUAUUACAAUGAUUCACCAGCACAUGAUUAUCAAUUCAGAGAUCGAGAAAGAGAUUUACCUUCUCGAGAUAGACCAAUUCCGAGAUAUCCAGUAAGAAACCAAGCAGCUCAGCAUAAUAUACCACCUUUGCUGCCACAUCUAGUCACUGGAAGUCAUCCUCCACCUCUUAUGUCAUUGGGACCUCCACCUACGGACAGGAAAGACUAUUAUGAUUCCUACAACAGCAGGUAUCCUGGACCAUCUAGCCAACGUUUUGGUAGUCCUUUACGAGAUGUACCUCACAAAAGAUUUGAUGAUGUUGCACCUCCUGGAACAGAGGGCUACUAUGAUCUUUCACCACCAGGUAUAGAACUUUCUGAAAGAUCUUUACGUGAUGAUCGUGAUCGACGUUUAUUAAGAGAUCAAGAAGAUCGUGAGCAUUCUCUUAAAGAUCAUGAUACUGAAGAUCGAGAUAGAUUAUCUUUGAGAGAAGACAGAGGACGUGAACGAGAUGAUCGUUUACGUGAAAGAGAUGACAGGGAUAGAAGGAUUUUAAAUAGAGAUCGCGAAGAUCGUGAAAGACAAGGAAUACCUAGAGAUCACGAUGAUAGAAUACGAGAAAAAGAUGAUCGUGAUAGAAGAGAAAAAGAAAAAGAACGAGAUGAUAGACAUACUAGAGAUCGUCGAGAAGACGAUAGACAUUUAGACAAAAAAGAUUAUGAUAAAGAUCGUUAUAGAGAAGAAAGAGAUCGGCACAAACAAGACGAUAAAAAUCGUUCUCGUGAAAAAGAUAGACGUGAAAGAGAUUAUGAAUCUGAAAAAGAUAGAGAUCGACAUGAACGUUAUGAAAGACGUUCCAUGGAACGAAAGAAAAAUAGAAAAAGUCCGACACCUUAUUCACAAAAAUCUAGGAUAGAUAUGAAAGAUGUAUCACCUGAACGUACAAAGAAAAAAGAAAAAGAUCAUGAAGAAAAGAAUGAAGAAAAGAAAAAAGAGAAAAAAAUUAAAGAAAAGAAAAAGAAAAAAGAUGAUGAAAAAGAAAAGAAAAAGAAAAAGAAAAAAGAAAAGAAGUCAGGACAAAAAGAAAUUGCAAAAGACGAGUGUACUAAAUCAGUUGAACAUGAAGAAUUAAUAGUAGAAAAUAAACAAGAGAUCAUAUCACCUACAAAAACUGAUGUAAUAAAACCUGUUAAUGAAGAUGAAAAUAUUGAUAAUAGAAUAGUUUGUAUUUCUACUGAAAAUGCUAUUGAAGAAUCAAUUAAAGAAGAAUUUGAAGAUAAAUCUUUAGCCAUGAAUCCGGAGCCUCCAGAAUUUCAUGAAACCAGUCCAGAAAGAAUUGAUCAUACAGAAUUUGGAACAAAUCCUCCUAAUCCUAAUUUUAAGCCAAUUCCAGAAUUAAAAUCUGAAAUCAAACCUAUUGAUAGUCUUUAUAGUGGAUUAGAUGAUGCAGAAAUAAAUACUGUAAUAACAGAAAAAUAUUCUUUACUUUCAGAAAAUGAAGCAGAAGAUAAAAGUACUUUAUUAGAAGAAAAAUCUCCAAAAAAAGAUGAAUUUUUAGCUCCAAUGCCUGAACUUUCUAAAUGGGAAAGAGAUGAAACUACAGAAAAAACAGAUGAUGUAUGCGAAUCUCCUAUAGAAAAAAUACAAAUAGAUGAACCUAAAUCUACAAAAGUAGUUACAUCAGAAGUAUUAAAAAGAGCAGAAAAUGCUAUUUUUCAAAAGGCCAUUAAUGCUAUUAGACCUAUUGAAAUUAAAAAGAUAAGUGAAAGUAGAAAAAUACUAUAUCAGAAUCCAGAGCCUAAAGUACUUGAAGUUGAACCCAAUAGAGAACCAAGAAAAAGCGUAAACGUUACUAUAAAUGUAGGAAGAAAUGAAAGAAAUGUUGAAAUUACAGAACCAGUGAAAAAAGCUAAAUUAGAUCGGACAAAAUUCAAACCUGUACCAGAAACUUAUUCACCUACAAGACUUUCUGCCAAAGAAAGACUAGGUGAAAAAGUGGAUGAAAACAAAGAAAGAAAAAUUAGUCCUAUAAAAAGCUUUUUAGAUAGACGCGAAACAAAGAGUGAAAAUCAAUCUAGAAGUCGAUCCCCUAGAAAUACGAGAGAUAAAAGAAUUUCUCCUUUAUUAGAUAGACGAGUUGAUUCAUCAUUGUCUAUACCAGGAAGCGAACGUAAAGUAUUUCUUGAUGAUAGAAAACGAGAUAAUAAAGAUCGAGGUGAUCGUUCAAAAGAAAGAAAUGAUUUUAGAAAUGAAAGACAUGAUAUAAGAUCCGAAAGAGAUCUAAGAAUUGAUUCUAGAGGAGAUUUUAGAUCAACCCGUAACGAUUCUAAAGGGGAAAGAAUAGAUAAAGAUAGAGAAAAAGAUAGAGAUAAAGAAAGAAGAGGAAGAACACCAUCUUGUACAUUUAAAAGAAAUGAUAUUCCAAAGAUAGGUCUUUUGAAGAAUAGAGAAGAAGAAGAUGAUAGGCGUAGAGAUAAAAAAACUAAAGAAGAUAAAAAAAGAAAAAAAGAGCAUCGAAGUAGAAGUAAAUCUAAAGAACAUAAAAAACGAAAAGAAAAAAAACAUAAAAAAGAUAAAGAUAAAAAUUUAGAGAAAAAACAAAAGCACAAAGAAAAUAUUGUUUUAAAAGACAAACCUGAAGGUAAUGAAACUAAAAUAAAUUAUGAAAAUCCUGAACCUCCUGUUACGGAACCUAUAAAAAAACAAAGGAAGAAUCCAAGACUUGUAUCUGAUCGUAAACGUAGUAUGCUUGAUGAAGCUAGCUUUGAACCUGAUUAUAGUGCUUCAGAUUCAGAAUCAGAUGGUGAAGAUGGCAAAGUAAUUUCAUUACCUGCUAAGAAACUUAAACUUGAUGAACCAGAUAUGGAAAAAGAAAUGGACAUUAAAUCUCUUAAAAAACGAUCAAAAUCUACAAGUAGUGAAGAUUCAUCUAGUAGCUCAGAUACUUCAACUUCUGAUUCUGAUAGUUCUGAUGAAUCACAUAAGAAAAAGAAGAAAAAACAUAAAAAACAUAAGAAAAAAAAAUCUAUAAAAAAAGAUAGUAGUUCUGAUUCAGAUUCAUAUUCAGAUUCAUCAGAAACAAGUACUGAUGAAGAAAAGCAUAAAAAGAAGUCAAAAAAAUCAAAAAGUAGGAACAAACAAACAAAAAAAAAGAAAAAAUCAAAGCACAAAUGACAUCAUUAGAUGUCUUUAAUAUUUUAAAUUCUGACAGUAAUUUUUCUUUAUGAAUGCUUUUUAAUGUAAGAUUCUCUGCCAGAAUUAUUUACAAUUAUAUACAUAAAAUUGAAAUUGUUAUCUGAUAUCUAAGAAAUGAUGUAGAUGUUUUAUUCUAUAUUUACAAUAUUAUUCAGUGUUCAAAAUUAAUUUGAACAUAUUAAAUUUGAACUAAUUCAUUACUUAUUAUUAAUAGUUAAUAAUUUUUGAUUGAAAAAUUUAAUAAAAUAAGGAAUGGGUAAUUAAGUAUGACAUUUAACUUGUAUUUAAUUUUGAAAAUUAUUAAGGCCUUUACAUGAUUGUCUAUAUUCUAAUUACACCUCUCAAAUGCUGUAAGUAAAUUCAUUACAAUAACUGAUGUACAUUAUAGCAUUCAGUAGAUAAUAUCUUUAAGGAAUUCAAUACAAUACUUUUAGAGAACAGCAAUUAUAUUUAAGAUCUCCAAUAUCUCAGCAUUAUAUUGUACUUUCAUAAUCUAAUGUCAAUAUGUAAAAGACGUCAUGAAAUAAAAAGACGAAAUUCUUUUAAUUCA